UCAUCCCCUCUCUAGGGUAGUGAAGGGACCGCUGACCACAGCUAACCCAGGAAGGCAUCGCCCUCCUGGCCUGCGCGCUGGGCCUGCGCCCUGUGUUGGCCAUCCAGGGAGGGUUCCUGGAGGCGGCAUCCACCUCCUUGGGGAGAAAGGGAGUUUUUCUUACCAGAGCUCCUGGGGUGCUUGAAGUCGCCCGCGCUGCUCUCGUUUGACAAAUCAUCCACAGUUGACUUUUUUUAAGUCUCACAUCUGCCCGUGAAGCACCCUAGGACAGUGCCAAGCUCAGAAGCAGGAGCUGCUGCCCACAGAGGGGACAGAUGGUCACUGGGUACACCUGCGCACACCUGGGCAGGUUCUCUGUCUCCUGGUGUACUACUGGCUCAUGAGGUGGUUCCUUUGAGGAGCUCUUCUCUGUUAGACGGGAUUCUUCUGCUGCCCUCUGUGAUGUCUUGCAGAUGAGCUCUGUUGUGAGGCAUCCUCCCCAAAAGACUUCCGGGGAGUCAGGGGUGGGAGGUGGCCCGGACCGCAGAGCGUGGGUCUGGUGGAUGGUGUGCAUGGCGGCUUCCUGACCCUCUGCAUCCCAUCUGUCCUUAGGCCUGCCACCAGGGACACACUGCAGCCAGCACCCGAGUCCGGUACUCGAAUGGAGGUUGUCCAUGGUGUGUUCAUUAUAUUUAUGAUGAGUAUUACAUGGCCAAUCUCCUUUCGGUACUAAAUUCUUCUUGGGAAAACUUCGCCAGGGGAAGCUCCAGCCAGUGCCUGUGCAGGGUAAGGAAAUGGGUCACUUCUGCAUGACAAGUGCUUUACAUCAGACGUGGGUCACCUGUCAUCAUAGGAUUUCCCAGAAGUGAUGCUGACUGUGUAGAUGAGACUAUGGUUUUCUGGGUCAUGUUACCCUCCCUUCUUUGAAGACUCGUUAGUAAAGAAAGCUUAUUAAAAAAAAAAGCUUAUAAAAAAGAAAGCUUAAAAAAUCUGCACACUGCAAGCCAUCUUCUUGGAUAGAGGCAUGCUUGAAGGAACUGGCUCAAUCCAAGGCACCCAAUAAUCCUCAGCUGUGGGGGGAGAGGUUUUCCUCAUGGAGAGAACUGACAGUGUUUGAAGGCAGGUGUCCAUGGUGACUUGACUGGCCCUGGUGCAAGACAAGAGUCACUUAUAGCACUCAUUCCUACCUGGUGCUUGUACUGGUAAUGAUCUUGAAUGAGUCAAUUAACCUGUUACCUCUCCAUGCCUUGGUGUCUUCACCUGAAGAAUGGGGUGGUACCUGCUCAGAAGGUAGGUAUAGCAACUCGGUGUAUGCUCAGCAUAUAGAUGGUGCUGGGCGCACAGCACAGGAAGGCGGGGUAACCACUGUCUUGCAACAGUCACUAUCACAGGGGUGCUAUUAUAGGGUCUGUUGAUCUUGCCCCUCCCCAUGGCCCUGAGCACACACAGGAGACAGGAGGCUGAGGUGCAGGGAGAGGGUUGGCCGCCAUCUGACAUGGGUUCUUUUUUGCGCCCUCUUUGGGGCCUCCUGGAAGGAGUGGCUGGAGGAUGGUCCUGUCCCCCCUCUUUCCCUACAACACUGUCUGCUCACCCCUACAGUCCUGCCCACCCCUCGCUGCCUUCAAGGAGGAGGGGCUGGCCUCCAGGUCAGCAUGUGAGGCCCCCAGUGGGCCGGAGGACCAUACAGUGGUCACACAAGAAAGCUGCAGCUCCUUUUUCUGUGUUAAGCCCCCAGGGGGGACUAGCCAGCAGAGAUGCAGCUUUGGGAACAGGACUUCGGCUUCAUGUCCCCUGGGUGCACCUGAAGUCAGUCAGGGACCACUUCUGAAACCCCCGCAAGAUGGCCCUCGGCACACCAUGUUCCAGCCACACUGGGGGCUCCUGGAAGGUAGUGCCAGUCACCCAGAGAGCAGUCUGUGUCACAGUAGCCCCUGGGGACAGUGGUGCUCGGGCGAAGAAGCAUCUGUUGGUGUUCUUGCCCGUGCUGACGUUUGACUCUGGAGCAGAGGUUGCCCUUGGUGAAUUCGCUUUAUUUACGUUGAAUCACACAAAGGCAACUUUUGUUUGAGUGUCAAGUCCGGCUUGGGAAGGCUUCCGGGACCUGGUGGCCCAUGAAUGAGGAUGGGUGGUGUGGACGAGGUGUGGUGGCCACUUUCCCCAGUGGACAAGAGCACAUGGUGACCAUGUGGCACAGUGCUGAGUGGGACUCAGUUCUGACCUCGGACCUCUGUCUUGACAUCUCCCUUUUGGCCACUGACCCCAAAGGUGUUUUGGCAGCAGAAGAGACUUGGACCUUGUGGAUAAAUAAAGAGCUGGCAUUCCAGAGUGCUGGUGACCAGGGUCCCUCGGUCCCUCCCACUGUCACCUCUCACAGCACUGCUCUCCCUCUGUGCCCCUACUUGCCUCAGUUCCUGUCUCUUCCCAGGUUUCUCGUGGGUUGUUGAAAUGCACAGAGGCGAUCAGUAUUUCUUUCUGUUUAUAUCCAAUAAUAGUGAUAAAAAUAAUGAACACAAAAUAACACUAAAAACCACUGAAACGGCUCAGAGGAAAAUGUGUUCAAUUGACUACAAAUUGGCAGAAGAAUCCAAUUUUCUUGACAACAUUUCAGCUGCGACUUUUGACCUGGGGAAAUGGAAUGUUGUAGACACAGUGGCCACAGAGGAAGUUCCCGGUGGUGGCAGCUGUAAACAGGAAUAUUUGAUGUAGACAAAAGCACAUUGAGGAAUCAAAUCUUCAUUCAAAUUUUUAAAUGGAAAAGAAUUGAUCCUAAUGAAAAUGAUUUUCGGGAAAUAACAAGGGAAAUAAAAGAAAUGAAAACAGCUCAACAGUGCUGUGAAGGAAGCUAAACAGGGAAUUGGAUUAGCUUAAUGCAAUUCACUCCGAAAAACAUGUUUUUAUGAAAAUCAAUGCUGGUACAGUUCUCGUUCCGACGGUGAAACUCUUGCGUGUUUGGAGGGAGUUCAUGGGGUCAGUGGGGAUCCAGGGUCAAAACACACUGUCCUUCCUGCAACUAACCUUCUCUUCUGUCCCAAAUCUUCCCAGAGACCAUCCUGGACGGGCAUGCUGACUUCAGGGGUGCCACGCUGGUAAGGUGACCUCUGGGGGGUGUGAGUGCAUAAUGUCACCCAAGCACAUACCACAUGGGUGAUGUGCAUCACCUGGCUUGGUGCCACCUGCUCACCCCCAUCCAUGUACGUGGGGUUCUGCUGCCUCUGGAUCUGAGGUGGCAGCUCCAUGGUCUAUGGGGCUGGGUCUUUCAGAACCUUGCCCACCACGCUGCUGCCACAUGCAGGAAGCAUGGAAUAGUCCAGGUUUAAUCCUUCUUGGACUCUGGUGUUGGCCCCUCUCCAUGGUGCCCUCAAUCAUGUGCCCUUCAUUGGUGGUGAACGUCACUUGGUCAUGGAGGCUGAGCCUCCUUUGGGGGGUCAUCCUGGAGUUGAUGUCCCGGGAUCAAGGUGAAAAGAGGUUGCCACUUGCUAGCAUGCAAUUUAUUUGGUGACCAGAACUCAUGCUGGGUCUCUUUCCAGAUCAGCCCCACCGUGGAGGACUUGCAGAAGCCAUGCCACUCUCGGGCGAUGGCCAGCACUGGAAGCCCUCUCCGGGGCAGGUGCAGCCUGGACGUGCCUGAGUGUAGCGAUAAUGUAUGUCAUCUCAUCCACUCAACGUCGCCACCCGGCUGUUCUCACGAGCACUUCCAGACGGCAGCUGCGGGAAGAGACUCUGAGCUAAACAGGGCGCCCGAGGAGGCAGCACCAGCGGAGGCCACGGUCGAGGUCCUUGUGCCAGCAUCACUGUGGGUACCUGAGGAGAGGUUGUCUGUGAAGAGUUCGCUUUAUUAAUGACGAAUAUAACACAGAUGGCCUGUUUUCAGUACCACCUCCCACUCUCAGCGUGCGCGGGCGCAGCCAGUGCAGGGUAUGUGAAUGCAUGGAUUCCGCGAGUGGCGCUGUCGCCCCCUCUGCUGAGCCUCAGCCUGGGGGAGCUUCCGGGGGUUGGGCCGGCCUCAGGGAAGAGGCCAGCUCUUGCUGGCGAGGCCCUGAGGUGCCUGCGGGGUUCCUGACGAGGCCCCGCCCUCCUCUAUGCGAUGCCAUUGAGGUGGAGGGGCCAGUCUCCAGGGAGUCCUGCCUGCAUGCUGCCCAGCACUGGCUGCCUCCCUCCAGUCCCACCUUGGACCCCUCGGCGACCCGGACGCCCUUGGGAGGAGCCUCGGCCCGCCUGCUGCGCAUGCUGCUCUGCGUGGUGCGUGAGGAGAGGUUGCCCGUGGCGCGUUCGCAAUCAUCAUGACGCACAAUACACGGUCGACCUCUCUUCAGUACCAGAUCCCACCUUGCAUGCUGCCUGCGCGCCUGCUCGUGUCGGGAGGGUCGUGGUUCACCGGCCUUCUGGGCCCCUGGGUGCAUGGCUGAUGGCCGGCUGAGCAUGCGCUUGACCCACAUCUGCAGCCCUGGGCAUCCCUCCUGCCAUGGAGGCGGGCAGCGGGGAGGUCGGGAGGCCACCCUGGAGGAAGAAGCCUCCUCUCUGGAGUCCGCGCUGCUCGGUGGUACCUGAAAUAGGUUGCCUGUGAGGUGUUCACUUUCUAUACGAUGAAUAUUAUACAGUCAACCUCUUUCCGGCAUCGAAUCCCGCCUCGGAAGACUUCCACUGUGCGAUGCCAUGCCAGGUGGCAGAACCUCUGUUGGUUGUCCCUGUGGCCUUCCUGCGGGACCUGUCACCUGGUCUUUCAGUUUCCCAUUGCUCUUCCAUUUGCAACCCCGCCUGGCCCACACUUUGCCAAAGUUACUGUAGCAGCCUUAUCUGGAUACUCAGUAACUGAGGGCAGGGGUCUUCCUAGUGCACCUCCUAAGGCCAGGCUCGCCUGCUCAGCACUGAGCUGUGGGAAUUUCUUUCCGAAGGCUACACCCUCCCCACGAGGGUGCAACCACUGCCUUUCCCCAGGGGCUGCCCAGGGACUGUGCCCAUAGUGAGGCUCCUAGCACCAUCCCCGAAGGUCCCCAGCUCUGCCGCCUUGCAGCCGCAGCUGCUGGAGGGGCUGCCCAUUCCGGUGUAGGCCACCACACAGAAUCCCCACUUGAGUCUCCCAAUGGUCUCCCGACCUCCUCCUGUCAGGGAGAACUUUCCAGAGCCCAUCUGCCUUGCUGCACCACAAUAAGGCCCCUGGGUGGACCUUUCCCUCUUCCUCUGUGCCUAGAGGACAUGGAGUCCUCGCAUGGCCCCCAGCCUCGGCCCUGGUGUCAGGCAUACCCUCUGUUUAUUUUCAUCACUUUCUGGGCUCCUGCAGAUGUCCCUUCCACUUCUGGGCACCUCCCCUGCUGCCUUCAGCCUCUUCCCUCCCGACCGUGCUGCCUUUGUGAGCACCCCAAGUCCUGCAUACCCCUUUCUCAAGGUUCAGGAUUCCCAAGGGAAUGAUGGCCCUUGCAGCAAGGCCACCCCUGAGCACCCUAACAGAAGCAGCCCAGCCCACCUCAUUCUGGUACAAACUAUCAGUCACACUCUUGCCUUUUCCCCCCUAGUUUAUAGCUCUCCCAGAUGGCCUCUUGUUCACAGCCACUUGUGCCCCCACCCCCUCCCCUUAAAUGGCAACAUCUCAGGGGGCAGGAGUUUCUCUGUCUUCUCCUCUGCUGUAUCCCCACCCUUGGGACCCAGGGCUGGCUCAUAGUAGCAGAGCAGUGAAUAAGUGUUGAUUGACUGGUAGAGUCCUCAAGGACAGAUACCAUAGGAGGUUUAUCCCCAGGAAAGUGCUGAGCACAAACCGGGAACUCCAUAAGAUGUGGCCACUGGGUUUAUGAAUAUGGUGAUCACUGUUUAGAUUCUUCACUUUUGUUAGAAGCUAUUUAGGGAUCUAGCUUUUUCUAUGCCUUCCAGGAUGUCACUUGAGAGUCUGGGGUUGGUUGUGGCAGGGCAGGUCAGUGAGGUCUGAGUUCUUUUCUCCACUUUUCAAACUGGGGCCCCCACACUAGGCUGCAGAUGUGGUGGGGUGUGUUCCCACCCGGCCCUGCCAGCCAGAUGCUCUGGGGAACUCCACCGGCAAUGGGCCAGAGCCUGGUGUCAGGGCUAAUAUUUUAUGCAUGGAACUGACUAAAUGGGAACAUUUGGAGAUGAAAAUUGCUGUUAAUGCAUUGACACAUCUUUGGAAUAUAUUAAAGUGUGUGUAUGGUGGAGGGGUGGGGAGACGGGCAUUAGCCUUAGUUAAUUGCUCCAAUGUAACCACUGCCUCACAGCAGCGUUGGCAGGCAUGGCUGCCCUGAGUCUCUCGGGCCGCUGGUGGGGGAGAGUGCUUGGUACCUCAUCUACCACUCGAGAAUUAUGCAUGAGACAAGAUGUCAGCCCAGGGUACCAGGCAAUCAGCAGCAUCCAUGUUCCCAACUCAUUUCAGACUCAAAGAUGGCAACCCUGUGCCGCUUGGUGCAGAAUCUCAUUAAAGGCAAAAUUACUGAUUUAUCUAUUGUUUGAGGAGAAGGGAAAAUAAACAAAGGGCCUUUCUCAUCCAACAAGCCAAAUGAAAAUGUCUGUCCCCCAAGUGGCCGUAAUGAGAGCCGAUGUGGACCCUUCAGCCUGAGGGUCAGUGACUCAGCCUGUUUCCAAGGCAGUAUGUAAAUCCAGCCAGCAGUCCAAGGUCACAGGGCCCAUAUGGUUUUUCAAUGUGCAAGGGCCCUGUUUACCAUCCUCUGGGCAUGAUUGGAAAAGUGAUUUGCCCUGGGCUUGUGUCCCUCUCUGUCAUUGUUUUUAAGGGGUGAUAAGGAGAAAAGUACAGCUGUCCUGAAAGUGAGUUUGCAUGGCCCGGGGCCCUGUCAGUGGCAGGUUCUGUUUUACAGAUAAGACAGUGGAGCACAGAGAGGCCCAAUGCCUGGGCCCAGAUCACCCAGGUAGAGGUGGAGCAGGGCACAUCUGGCCCCAGGGCCUUCUUAAUCGCCCUGCUUGGCUGGAGUCCACAGCUCUGGGACUGGCCCCUUGUGCCCUAGAAGAAAGCAGUCUCAUUGAAUUGACCUUGAAUUCUUCUUGUAUAACAUGGCAGGCUCCCAAGACUUGCUUUGCCAGAAUUUUCAUGUAUUUCAUUUUUUUUUCUUCUUCAUUAUCCACUUGGUGUCUCUCCAAGUUGGUGCCAGCACCCAUGGAUGCUAGUUUGUGUCUGACAUGAGGAGAGGGCAAGACCCUGGUCCUGAAGGUCAACUAUAAAACCCAAGACCCACGGUGACCUGUGUCUUUGCUCCCACUUGAGGGCAUUUGGGGAGGGGAUGUCCGCUGUCUCCAUUGUGUGUGGGGAACAAGAUCUGUGUAUGCUCAGUGGAGCCAGGACCGCCCCCCCCCCAUGUGCCCACCUUGGCCUCCGCUCCUGGGCCCAAUCAGAGGCUGGUGCAGCGCUUGAGCAUCCACAGAGCUGUCCUUGGGAUCCCUGAGGAUGCAGAGAACCCUCCCACGUUGGGGCUGGAUGGGACUCCAUUCUCCUCUUGGCCUACGCCACUGUUCAUACCCUGGGACAGGUAGGGAAACUGAGGUCAGUUAGGGCAGGAUGCUGGGCUGUGCAUUUCUCUUUCACUGAGACUCAGGCAAGGUCCACCUCUGGGGACUUGGGAGUUGCCUUCUUUGUCAACCCUGAGAGGGCUGCAGAAACCACUGUGAGACCUCCACACUAGAGGGAGGGGGCUGCUGCCCUGCAGCUCUGCUUCUGGAAGCCAGGGCCCUAACUCUGCUGCAGUGCCACGUCCUAGUAGCUGCUCAGAUAAUACCGUCUCCUUGGGUCAAAUCCAGCCCCAGAUGCCAGUGCAGAGUGAAUGUUCCAGGCACGAAGGUGUAAUGAGUCAGAUGUCUUUAUUGCCUGGAGGAAGCACACAGGAAGCACUCGGAGAACGUUUGUGGAAUGAAUAACUAAAAACGUGCUCUUUGAGGUAAUAAAGAAGCUGAGAAAUGAAGAAGAAUCGGGGCAGACAGACAUAAAUCUCUACCAACACUGCCAAGGCUGUGCAGCCGGGGCCUCUGAAAAGACCCUGUGGAGGUGGAAGGGCCAUUUGUCAUGGACGAGGACAGGCUUGAGGGCUGGGACGCAGGGUCUGAUGGAGCCUCAUUCAUCAUUUUCCCAUUAUCCCAGUGACAUGGAGAGGAGCUGGCGUAUUACCUGUGUGCCAGGCCACGUCGGCCUGGAGGUGCCAGGCCCUGGGCCCAGGGAGUGGGGCAGGGGUGGGAGUAGCCGGGACCCUGAGGAAGGGCAGUCUGGGCUUGGGAGCAGCUCCAGGGCCUGCCUCCUCCAGGAAGCCUCCCCGGACCUCCCACCCACAGUCCCAAUGUGCAGACAGACAUUUGUCACAGGGGCUCAGCUGGGGCAGAGACUGAGUUGACUUUCUUGCCAUGGUGCUUCUGUCCGAGUGUGGGGCAUCGAGCCGAGAAGCCGCUGGAGGCUUGCUGGCCUUGUCUUCCAUUUGCAGGCAGCUGGACCCGCACUCAGAAGGUCUUUAGUAGUGGACCUUCCAGAGCCAGACCCUGCGGUGACCCCAACCAGGCCACUUCCACUGAAGAAAGAUGUCUGAGCUGGGGACACCUGACCCUGAGGUGUUCCCUGGGCCUGGGGCUGCUCUGCUCACCUGGGCCCGUCUCAGGAGUGUCCGCCCUGAUGGAUCUCUCCCUUUUCCUCCCUGGAUUUCUGCUACUUCAAAGACUCCAAGAUGUCCCCUGUUCUCAGAAGGCAGAGUCCACCUGUGACCCUGGCAGGUCCCUGCUUCUCCCUGCACCCCGAGGAGGAAGAACAACAUGGACACUGAGACACCCCCUCCCUCAUUUUAAAAGCCUGAGAACCCUGGGACAGUCCCUCGGCAGGACCGAAAGCCCUGGUUUGGGAGCCUGGGGGAGCUGGGGAGGUGGGAGAGGGUCCCCCAGGGGAGCAGACCACAGGGAGAGAGCAACUGAGGUCCUCCCAGCUGCUCUGAGCCUGGAAGAAGCAGGAAUUCCUGCUCCUGGCUUCCAAACACUGUGGCCAAGUCAUUUGAAUAAUAAAUACGCAUUGCAAGAUGUA